rnacentral:rRNA from 1 species
AUUGAACGCUGGCGGCAGGCCUAACACAUGCAAGUCGAGCGAGCGGCGGACGGGUGAGUAAUGCCUGGGAAUUGCUCAGGCGAGGGGGAUAACCGAUGGAAACGACUGCUAAUACAGCAUACGACUGGGUUGCACAGGUGGGAUUAGCUAGUUGGUGAGGGAAUGGCACACCAAGGCGACGAUCCCUAGCUGGUCUGAGAGGAUGAUCAGCCACACUGGAACUGAGACACGGUCCAGACUCCUACGGGAGGCAGCAGUGGGGAAUAUUGCACAAUGGGGGCAACCCUGAUGCAGCCAUGCCGCGUGUGUGAAGAAGGCCUUCGGGUUGUAAAGCACUUUCAGCGAGGAGGCGUUACUCGCAGAAGAAGCACCGGCUAACUCCGUGCCAGCAGCCGCGGUAAUUC